UACGUAGGGGGCUAGCGUUGUCCGGAUUUAUUGGGCGUAAAGAGCGUGUAGGCGGCCAGGUAGGUCUGGUGUGAAAACUCGAGGCUUAACCUCGAGAUGUCAUCGGAAACCAAUCUGGCUAGAGUCCGGAAGAGGAGAGUGGAAUUCCUGGUGUAGCGGUGAAAUGCGCAGAUAUCAGGAAGAACACCAAUGGCGAAAGCAGCUCUCUGGGACGGUACUGGACGCUGAGACGCGAAAGCGUGGGGAGCGAACAGG
rnacentral:rRNA from 1 species